rnacentral:rRNA from 1 species
GCUAAACGCGAAGAACCUUACCACCUUUUGACAUGCCUGGACCGCCACGGAGACGUGGCUUUCUCUUCGGAGACUAGGACACAGGUGCUGCAUGGCUGUCGUCAGCUCGUGUCGUGAGAUGUUGGGUUAAGUCCCGCAACGAGCGCAACCCUUAUCAACAGUUGCCAUCAUUAAGUUGGGAACUCUGUUGAGACUGCCGUUGAUAAAACGGAGGAAGGUGGGGAUGAUGUCAAGUCAUCAUGGCCUUUAUGUUCAGGGCUACACACGUGCUACAAUGGUCGGUAACAAAACGUCGCAAUCCCGCGAGGGGGAGCUAAUCGCUAAAACCGAUCUCAGUUCGAAUUGAAGUCUGCAACUCGACUUCAUGAAGUUGGAAUCGCUAGUAAUCGCAAAUCAGCAUGUUGCGGUGAAUACGUUCCCGGGUCUUGUACACACCG